GAGGGCAUAGCUUAGUGGUAACGCAUAUGCUUAGCAUGCAUGAGGUCCUGGGUUCAAUCCCCAGUACCUCCA
rnacentral:tRNA from 1 species